AUGGGACUAGAAGCAUCCAUAUCACAGGAAAAGGAAACAAGAAUGUUUUGUCUGCUCUCAUCCAAGAUCCACAAUUUCAUCAGCACAAACAACAAAGUUGUUGAGGAUAUUUUUUUCACGGAAAAAUUAGUUUAUACUAUUAUUCAACCAGGGCUAACAAUACCACACUUAAGUUUAACAAGCCAUCUAGCCCGGAACCAAUCCAAACUGAUGUAUUUUGCCAUGAAAAUCACUAGCAAGGUCCUGGUUGCGACUAUCAUGAGUAAUACAAACUAUUACUCGAGGGACUCUCAUCAAGUCUUUGAUUAA
rnacentral:rRNA from 1 species